GAUGAACGCUGGCGGCGUGCCUAAUACAUGCAAGUCGAGCGAACGGACGAGAAGCUUGCUCCUCUGAUGUUAGCGGCGGACGGGUGAGUAACACGUGGAUAACCUACCUAUAAGACUGGGAUAACUUCGGGAAACCGGAGCUAAUACCGGAUGAUAUAUUGAACCGCAUGGUUCAAAAGUGAAAGACGGUCUUGCUGUCACUUAUAGAUGGAUCCGCGCUGCAUUAGCUAGUUGGUAAGGUAACGGCUUACCAAGGCAACGAUGCAUAGCCGACCUGAGAGGGUGAUCGGCCACACUGGAACUGAGACACGGUCCAGACUCCUACGGGAGGCAGCAGUAGGGAAUCUUCCGCAAUGGGCGAAAGCCUGACGGAGCAACGCCGCGUGAGUGAUGAAGGUCUUCGGAUCGUAAAACUCUGUUAUUAGGGAAGAACAUAUGUGUAAGUAACUGUGCACAUCUUGACGGUACCUAAUCAGAAAGCCACGGCUAACUACGUG
rnacentral:rRNA from 1 species